UGUUAACAGUGGGCAUCCUGGUGGAGGAAAUUUAAUUUGACUGUUUUGCUUAUUGAUAUUUUUCACAGCAGAUCAUGUGUGUGAAGAUUCUGCAGUCCAACCUGCAGGGCAGCUGGUACAGCCUAGAUCACUCUGCCAUCGUAUGAGACUGAAACUGAUGGUGGGUGAUGUGACUAGGCACUCGCUUGGGCUGCAGAAAGGUGUAUUUACCUGUAUGGAGAAGGGACAGGACAGACAUACCUGACAAUUGAGACAGGUGGAUAGAGUGGCAGGAUGUUCAGAAAAACAGAGACCUGCACCAAGAUCAGGGGGAACUUACGCAGUUGGAGACAGCAGAAAGAAUGGGAGACACUGCUUCUUGAGAGGCUCUCCAGAGUCAACAGCUGGUGAAUGACUAUGGAACAAGCACCCAAGGACACAGUCCCAUGGAGCAGAAGCUGAUGGUGUGCCAUGCAGAAAGAGACUUGAUCAAGUCCCCAAAGUGUCCCUUGUGAGACUCAAUUACUUACUGUCAGGACUGGCCUGAGAGUGACCUGGGAUAAAACUUGAUGCUGUUUGAAGACAGCACACUACUGACAAUGGCUUGCCUUCUGCAAACAAGAAUCUCAAGCCAUAAAGGAAUUUAGGAUGGACCCGAAGUCUUCUGGCACCAGUUGCAUCUAUGCACCUGUGCUAAUUGUCUGUGUAGCUUUGACCUCAAACAUUUCAUCCAGACUCUUCAAACUGUGACCUCAAAACUGUAUAUAUACUUCGACUCCAGAUAGCUGCUGUGAUAUCACUGAUGUCAGCCUGCCUGUAUGUAGGUGAAUAAAAUCUGAUCUUUUCCACAGCCUCGGUCUCCAUGUGUUGCCUCAUGCCACUAUUACCUAACAUAUAGUACCAUGACUUGGAUGUGAUAUGGAAUUCCUCUUGAAAGAAUUUCCUAUACCCUAUCUCAAGCCUUUUCCACUGAGGUCAUCUGAUGACACCGAGUCUUGACCUUGCUCCAAUGCUUCAAGCAGCUCCCCAGGUCAUGCUAUGCUGACUGCUUCAGUCUGGGUAAGCUUGCCUUCCUUUCCAGACUUCUACCAGUCCCUAUGCCUUUAAGAUCCCCCCUACU
rnacentral:lncRNA from 1 species